rnacentral:misc_RNA from 1 species
UUUCCGUAGGUGAACCUGCGGAAGGAUCAUUACCGAGUGAGGGUCUCUCAGGCCCGACCUCCCACCCUGUGUUUUUGUGACCUUGUUGCUUUGGCGGGUCCGCCUCGAGGAGAGGCCGCCGGAAGCUCACCGCUUUGGGCCCGGGCCCGCCAGUAGCCCCCUUAAAUUCUUAAUAAACCUGUCGUCUGAGUCCAGAUAUAAUAAAAAAAACUUUCAACAACGGAUCUCUUGGUUCUG